GGCGGCGGAUGUGGUUAGCGACAGAUCUGACCAGGAUCGGAUUUACCGAUCCCGAAUUAAAAGGGUAACGCAACCUUAUCCACUGCUAAAACAGUUCGAGUUUGCGUGGCGUUCCGCUCAAUGUGUAUCUGCCUCCACCAUAAUAAAAUACAACGCGACCGGAAGUGAAGCCUGUGCCACGUAAGUGGUAAUGGUUAAUAUUUUCACCAGCGGUAAAACGAAACGAGCGUAACGAACCGUCGAAUUUCGGAAUUGUUUCAUAAUCGAUGGCGACCUGCCCAAUGUCUCAUUGAUUGGCAAUGGUGAUAGAACAUACAUGGAAACGACAGUUGAAUUCCUCGGUCAUUUGGCAUGCACUGUUACCUGCCGCCGGCACCGCCAACACUCUGUUGUCUUCCCCAUUCCUACCUUUUCUCUCGCACUCAACCGUACGAAUGGAAAGAAGAGACAGGGAGAGAGAGAGAGAGAGAGAGAGAGAGAGAGAGAAUCUUCCAACUACACUUGUUUCAUCGUUUGAACGAAGAAGCAACGAUGGAAAGGAGCAACGUGCUAUUUCAAAUUAUACGAGAAUGGUUAUGCGCAUAAUGCAAUGGCUCUAGCGGAACAUCUUAUCGAAGAGACUGACUUUAUAAAAAUAUUAAAGAUAUUUUUUGCCACGCAACGUUAUUAGUCAGCCAUGCAUACAAGUUGAAUCGCUUAGUUCAUCGUUGCACUGCAUCAGUGACCUGAGCAGCGAAAGUUCUUUUGUUUACUUGAGAAUCACCAUCUCAUACACUUGCAUGAGCUUUUUACGAAAUCAUAUUUCAUAUAACGACAAACGUGUGUAAUACGAUGGAUAGUAAAGGUGGGUAAUACUUGCCAUUGAGCGGCCAAUGAAACCUAACCUUCUUAAUUAAUACGCAUUGGAAAAGUUUGCUGUUUGAAGAAAUGCACAGGGAAUUAUUAUCGUUCGGAACAAAGAAUACAACUUGCAGAAUGGCGCUGACUGUAAGUGAUGCCGAAAGGUAAUAGACGGACGCAUGGUGAAGCCAUUAUGGAACUAAGCCAGUUAUAAUAGUUACAACCGAUGUGAUACUACAAGAAACCACCACAUAUAGCUAUCAUCAUGUUUACCGAGAAAAGAUGAGAGUUUGCAUACGUUGGAGUACCGAUUCUUUGCUUUGCACAAGUAUCUAUUAUAGCUAUCGUUUCAUCGAACCCUGCAUAGUGUAAAAAUAAAUUGUUUGCAACGCAAGUCGAAUGUAAUCGUAACAUUUCUUUUAAUAUAGCAUGUAACAAUCGAUUUAAUGGCUGUUAACGCUGUCAAAUGACAAUAAUACUAAUGAUAACGCCAAGAUCAAUGCAAAAAAACGUUUACAUUUACCAUAAUACGCGAAAGUAUAGUGGUCUGCAGAUCAUUGUAACGUUUUUCACCCCGGAUCAUUGUAACAGUAGUAUCCCCACCACGUUUCGCCAGACCAAGUCCCCACCAUUGGCGACUGGCUAUGCAUUCAGAAAGAUAAGUGCGAACAGCGCAUAACGGAAAUAAAAAAUUUUUUAUUUUAUUAUUCUACACUCAUGAAAAUAUUAACAGAUAGAUCGAGUUUUUCCAAUUAAAA
rnacentral:misc_RNA from 1 species